UAUCCUUGCAAAUCCGACCCAUACAACUCCUCUCAGUAACACAGCGACUCCUCCGUCGAAGAACUCCACUCCGACAGUGACUCCUCCAUCGAAGCUCAGCGCCUCAACGCCUCGAUGAUGCCAUUCCACUCGGCGACUCCACUCCGCGAGUCGAAGGUCGCUCGUCACCCACUUCCCCACUUGAAGCAACUGAUCUCCCGCGCUCUGCCGAGGCAAUGGGAGAUGAUUGCCGAUAUCCUUGGAGUGGAAGUGUUCAGGCAGACCAUCGCUGGCAACAUUCCCGUGGGAAGCUACUGUGCUUUCUCCAACAGAGGUGGCCUGGCAAAGUCGACGAUAUCACUUUGUUUCGUGAUAAAGCUUCUCUGCUAAAGCUUGAAGGACCAGCUUUUUUCACUUUCGCUGGAAUAUUAUUCUAGUUUUUGGUGUUUCUUGCUUAAUAAAUAAGUUGAACCACCUCUUUCUCCAUCCCUACUGUCAUGGCAAAACACAUCUUCUGGCAUGCAAUGCUAUGUUUUUUUUACGUUGAUUAGAAAUCAAAAAGCAGUGCCCAACACUUCUGCAACCAGAAAAAAAGGGGAGAACUCACACAUGGCGAAAUCUUGUUCUUCAGGUCCAUCCCCACACAUCCGUUGAAGACUUGGAUGAGCUCUCAACUCUCCUCCAAGUCCCCUUAGUGGCUAGGACAGUGAACCGUGGCAGAGGUGAUAGCCGCGGGCAUGACCGUGAACGACUGGACAUCCUUUUGCGGGUCCGACACCACAGCCACAGAGUUGUCCGUUAUCGAGCGUCUUCAAGGACUAGCUUUUUUCACUAUUGUUGAUGAGAUGAGGAAGUCGCUCAUUGACAGUUAUGUGUGAAAUCAGGUCCUAAAGUUUUGGCUGUUAGCAUCAAUGAUAAUAGUUUUUUGCUUGGUCGGUCCAGAGUGUUAAUAUAGUGUUCUUAAGUCUUGACUAAGCUUCUUGUCUUGCUAAUCCUCGGAAAGUUGUUUAACAAUCAGCCAUCUUGUGGCUUUGGAACCUGUUUUUCUUUUUA